ACUAUUUUUAAGCUACCAUCACACGCUUUUACCCAUUAAAAAGAACAACACAAAAUCAAAUAAAUAUUUUGGUAAGCUUUAUGCAGAGAAGUCAACUCUCAGACUUGAUUUUUACUUUCAGAGUCCCCUCAAGUAUCAUCACCAUGGUACAGUGUCUGUGAAGAUAGUGAAGCAGACCCAGCAUUCACAAAAAAAGAGAGGUCCCAUAAAGAGAAGAUCCUGGAGCAAACAGGAAGUACAUGCUGUGGUGAAAGCUGAACCAUUGGCUCUAAAAACCAGAGAUUGGUCAGCUUUGGAUUUUUAUAUUAAAAACUGAAUCUCGGCUCUUUAGA